GACUUUGAAAGAUGUUUUCCCCUUCAAGGGGAAAACACAGAGCUACCUGGCUGGAAGGUCAAAUCACAAAGCAGUUGUACUGUGACUUUGUGAGUGGGAGGAAAGCUGCAUUUUGGAAGAGAAAAAAGGGGGUACUGAACCUGUUGGCGCAAUCCCAGAAUUGCCAGAAGGAGGCGCCACCCAAUGAAUGAACCUCUUGGGACCAACCUCUCCAGAAAAUCCUAAGAAACACACCAACUUUCAGCCCAAAAGAAAUUCCAGUCAGUCAAAGCUCUCCAGCCAAGGUAUCAGUUACCAAGAACUAAUGCUCAUGGACUGAACCAUAUCCUGAAGACCUGGCACGAUCACCUACAAACUACUGAAAUUCCUGGCUUUACUAAGUUUCAGAGUAACAGCCGUGUUAGUCUGUAUCCGCAAAAAGAAGAACAGGAGUACUUGUGGCACCUUAGAGACUAACAAAUUUAUUAGAGCAUAAGCUUUCGUGGACUACAGCCCACUUCUUCGGAUGCAUAUAGAAUGGAACAUAUAAUGAGGAGAUAUAUAUACACACAUACAGAGAGCAUAAACAGGUGGGAGUUGUCUUACCAACUCUGAGAGGCCAAUUAAUUAAGAGAAAAAAACUUUUGAAGUGAUAAUCAAGCUAGCCGAGUACAGACAGUGUGAUAAGAAGUGUGAGAGUACUUACAAGGGGAGAUAGAGUCAACGUUUGUAAUGGCUCAGCCAUUCCCAGUCCUUAUUCAAACCGGAGUUGAUUGUGUCUAGUUUGCAUAUCAAUUCUAGCUCUGCAGUCUCUCUUUGGAGUCUGUUUUUGAAGUUUUUCUGUUGUAAUAUAGCCACCCGCAGGUCUGUCACUGAAUGACCAGACAGGUUAAAGUGUUCUCCCACUGGUUUUUGAGUAUUUUGAUUCCUGAUGUCAGAUUUGUGUCCAUUAAUUCUUUUGCGUAGAGACUGUCCGGUUUGGCCAAUGUACAUGGCAGAGGGGCAUUGCUGGCACAUGAUGGCAUAUAUCACAUUGGUAGAUGUGCAGGUGAACGAGCCCCUGAUGGUAUGGCUGAUGUGAUUAGGUCCUAUGAUGAUGUCACUUGAAUAGAAAUGUGGACAGAGUUGGCAUCGGGGUUUGUUACAAGGAUAACUCCUAUGUAUCGCAUGUUAAGCAAUCCUUGCACACAGUGCUUUGAACUUUCUGUGAUAUAAAUUAUUUCUUAAGGAUUGAAAAGACUCCAGGAAGGUGCAAACUUGAUGUGAAAUCUAUUUGUAUUUCCAAUAUGUCGCUGGUGAUUCUGCAGUUCUGGUUGCCCCAUCAAAAAAAAAAAAAGAGAGAGAGAUUAGAAUUUGGAAAGGUACAGAGGAAGAUCAACAAAAAGUACUAGGAAUAUGGGACAGUUUCCAUACGAGAGUAAAAAACAAAAAAACUGGGGGACUGGUCAGUUUAGAAAAGCUAUGACUAAAGGGGGAAAUGACAGAAACCUAUAUAAUUAUGAAUGUUGUGGAGAAAGUGAACAGGGAAGUCUUAAUUAGCCUUUCACAUAACACAAGAACUAGGUCACCCCAUGAAAUUAAUAGGCAGCUAGUUUAAAACAAACAUAAGGAAGUAUUUCUUCACACAACACAGUCAACCUGUGGAACUCAUUGCCAGGGGAUGUUGUGAAGGCCAGAAGCAAAACUGGGUACAAAAAAGAAUGAGGUAAGUUGAUGGAGGAUAGGUCCAUCAAAGCCUAUUAACCAAGAUGGCCUGGGACACAAACUCA